UACGUAGGAGGCAAGCGUUGUCCGGAAUUACUGGGCGUAAAGCGCGUGUAGGUGGUGGACAAGUCUGCUGUGAAAGCGCCUGGCUUAACCGGGCGAGGUCGGCGGAAACUGUCCGACUCGAGGACGGUAGAGGGGGGUGGAAUUCCCGGUGUAGUGGUGAAAUGCGUAGAGAUCGGGAGGAACACCUGUGGCGAAGGCGGCCCCCUGGGCUUAAAUUGACGCUGAGGCACGAAAGCGUGGGGAGCAAACAGG
rnacentral:rRNA from 1 species